rnacentral:lncRNA from 1 species
ACCCCAGCCAGCAUGGCCGGCAGGAGCGCACCGCGCUGUCUCCCUCCAGGGAUCCGCACCGCCCUACAAUCCUGCUUUGUGCUGAGAUUGUAGUCCUGCAGGCGUACAACUAACAAGCUGGGUGCAGAUAAGAGACUACAGCUCCCCGCAUCCCAAGCAAAGGUCCCUCCUCUACGGAGCCCCUCCACGCGUCCACUGCGGUUCCGCCGUGCCAAGGGGAGCUUGGCUGUUCACGGGCCUCACCUGCUAGCGAGAAGAUAGCUUGGCCGGGCGGCUGAUCUCACCUUGUAAUUCUGACACUGUGUCUCCCGGGCUUGUCGGCUUCAUGACUUGUGCCCAAAGUUUGAUUUCUCGCAGACCAGGAGGACCCAUUGGACCCCCGGGCUGGCUGCAGGGCCCACACCUGGGUUAGACCUCGCACAGGGACGCUGCUGCCACUGUAAUAAAGCGUGCCUACACGCUUCUGAAACUGGUGUAGGAACAACCUCAGUUCUGUGAAAGGCGGACGCAGCAGGACAGAAUCUCCGUGGACAUCUGUCUGGAGGAGCAAUUUUACUGCGACAUUUUAAAGAAACAAAUUUAAUUGAUUUCCAAGGGUGUCCAUCGCGCUUCCUUCACUGCCUUGAUCAUGUCGGGGUCACCACCUGCGGGGGUUUGUCCUGCAGACCCUGACUCAACGACGGAUGAAUAAUGUACACUGACACAGAUCUUAUGCUUGUCAGUCCUGCUGAGCAUCCAGGCCACUUACAGACUCCAAGAAGAGUCCUGUCAGCCACGGCUCUGACUUGUUGGCCCUCCCGGCAUUUAUUUAGCACACAUUUAAUGACAGAAGUCUCAGGCUGGAAACACUCUUUUUGUAGAACAUACAAAUGGACAUUUCUAAGCACAUUGAGGCCUAUAAUGAAAAAUCAAAUAUCCCACAAUGAAAACUAGAAGGAAGCUAUCUGUGAUAAUGCUUUGUGGUGUAUGGAUUCAUCUCACUGACUGAAACCUGAGUUUUGAUUCACCAGGUUAAAAACACUAUUUUUGUAGACUCUACGAAGAAACAUUUCUGAAACCAUUGAAACCUAUGGGGGAAAAAAACCCCCGAAAUUCCUGUGAUAAGAAAUGGAAAGCAGCUAUCUGUGAAAAUGCUUUGUAAUGUGUGGAUUCUUCUCACAGAGUUAAACCUUUGUUCUGAUUCAACAUUGUUCAGAACACUCUUUUUGUAGAAUCUACAGAGAUACUUUUUAGCAUUUUGAGGCCUCUAGUGAAAAACCGAAUGUCCUGCAAUAGAAACUGGAAACAACCUUCUGUGAAAAUGCUUUGUGAUUCGUCUAUUCAUCUCAAAGAAUGAAACUUGUGCUUUGAUUCAACAGGUUGGAAAACCCUUUUUGUAGAAUCUACGUAGGAACAUUUCUGAGCCCAUUGAGGCCUCUAGUGAAAAAACUGAAUAUCCCAGAAUUAAAACUAUAAACAAGCUAUCUGUGAAGAAGCUUUGUAAUAUGUGCAUUCAUCUAACAGAUAUAAGCGUGUAUUUUGAUUUGCCUGGUUGGGAACACUCUUUUUGUACAGUCUAUAAAGAAACAUUUCUGAGUGCAUUGAGUCAUAUGUUGAAAAAUCGAAUAUCUCGUGAUAAAAACUAGGCAGGAGGUAUCUGUGAAAAUGCUUUGAGAUGUGUGGGUAUUGGCCUCACAGAGUUAAACUUUUGUUUUGAUUCAACAGUUUGGAAACAUACUUUGUAGAAUCUACAAUGACAUAUUUCUGAGCCCAUUGAGGCCUGUAGUGAAAAACCGAAUAUCCCAUGAUAAAAACUCAAAACAAGCGAUAUGUGAAAA